GACGAACCGUGCGAGCGUUAUUCGGAAUCACUGGGCUUAAAGCGCGUGUAGGCGGAUGGGGACGUCGGUCGCUGAAAUCCCCCGGCUCAACCGGGGAACGGGCGCCGAAACGCCCCGUCUGGAGGGACGUAGGGGGACCUGGAACUUCCGGUGGAGCGGUGAAAUGCGUUGAGAUCGGAAGGAACGCCCGUGGCGAAAGCGAGGUCCUGGACGUCUUCUGACGCUGAGACGCGAAAGCUAGGGGAGCGAACGGG
rnacentral:rRNA from 1 species